UACAGAGGGGGCAAGCGUUGUUCGGAAUUACUGGGCGUAAAGGGCGCGUAGGCGGCCUGUUAGGUCGAACGUGAAAUCCCCGGGCUCAACCCGGGAACUGCGUCCGAUACUGGCUGGCUUGAAUCCGGGAGAGGGAUGCGGAAUUCCAGGUGUAGCGGUGAAAUGCGUAGAUAUUGGGAAGAACACCGAUGGCGAAGGCAGCCAUCUGGACCGACACUGACGCUGAGGCGCGAAAGCGUGGGGAGCAAACAGG
rnacentral:rRNA from 1 species